GACAUUCUCACCUUGAUGGGAGAGUAAGGUUUACAUGGUCAGUAGUAUGAUUCAAGUGUGGGGGAAGUUAUUAUUAAAAAGGGAGCAUGAGUAACAAUGGUGAAUUGGUGUUGGUUGAUGAGAUGCAUUCUUGUAUAUAUGUCAUCUAUAAAAGAAAAAGAAAAAGAAAAUAGAAAAAGAAAAAAAAAAGAAAAUAUAUGAAUAAGGUGACUGCAAGUGGGUGUUUGGUUUUUCUAGUUUUCAGACAAAAGAGAGUAUAAUGAUAAAACUGUAAAAAUGAUGUGAUUGCUCUCUUUGCUCCUUCACAUUACCUUGAUACACCAAUUUCCNUCUUUGCCUUAUCAGACCAUCAAAUAAAGCCCUUGUUGUGUUUGUAUGUUUUGAUAAUUCUUGGCUCUUGAAAUGAAAAGCAAAGUCAAAUUUUGUGCUGUUAGAGGUAGAUGAGAGAAUGAUACACCCUUACACACUAGUGUACUUGAGUGAAAACACUUUUUCUAGUGAGGAUUGGUUCCUUUGGUUGAUAAAUGAAAACAUCGUUGCCAUGAUUGUUAAUCUCUCAUAAAGCAUGUACAUUCAUUC
rnacentral:lncRNA from 1 species